rnacentral:rRNA from 1 species
GAUGAACGCUGGCGGCGUGCCUAAUACAUGCAAGUCGAGCGAACAGACGAGGAGCUUGCUCCUCUGACGUUAGCGGCGGACGGGUGAGUAACACGUGGAUAACCUACCUAUAAGACUGGGAUAACUUCGGGAAACCGGAGCUAAUACCGGAUAAUAUAUUGAACCGCAUGGUUCAAUAGUGAAAGACGGUUUUGCUGUCACUUAUAGAUGGAUCCGCGCCGCAUUAGCUAGUUGGUAAGGUAACGGCUUACCAAGGCAACGAUGGGUAGCCGCCCUGAGAGGGUGAUCGGCCACACUGGAACUGAGACACGGUCCAGACUCCUAGGGGAGGCAGCAGUAGGGAAUCUUCCGCGAUGGGGGAAAGCUUGACGGAGCAACGCCGCGUGAGUGAUGAAGGUCUUCGGAUCGUAAAACUCUGUUAUUAGGGAAGAACAAAUGUGUAAGUACCUAUGCACGUCUUGACGGUACCUAAUCAGAAAGCCACGGCUAACUACGUG